ensembl:lncRNA
UGAUUCCUGAUUCCAAAAGCUGCAGUGAGCUCAGGGAGGAUGAGAAUAUUGAGGUGAGGAGAGCUGUUUCAUUGCUGUGCUGUAGGCGGAACCGGAUUUGAAAUGGCUUGAACAGAUUGUUAGUGAAGACGUGGGCUUUGAGUUGUGCAGCAACACAUUUCAGUAUUUCUUAAAGAAAGGGAAGAUGUGAAAUUGCUCUUGUUGUCGGGGUCAAGCCCAUGUUUUGUGUGGAUUGGGUGUACAGGAGCUUGUGUGAGUGCGUCGGGGUCGGGGACUGAACCAUAGCUGGGGGAGGAGUUAAUCAUCAUUGAGGUGAGAUAGCUGGUAGACAUUUUGUGACCAGAUUAGACGGUAUUGGAUCCAGGUGGACCACCUCGUUCCUGUUGCCAAGGUAGACCGCUCCAAAGGUGACACAGGGGAGAACUGAAAAAAGGGCUGAGGGAUGGAUGACGGGUGUGCAGAGGGGUGUGCAGGUGGAGUCGUGGCGAUCUACCAGGUAGUAGUCGAGCAAACGUGUAGUAACGGUCCAACAACGGUACAUACCCUAAGCUCAAACGAGCCUCUUAUCUGUCAAAAGCCAGGGAACGGUCAUAACUAUUCCAGACAUCCUUGGUCAUUACGUUACUUGGAUGACUUGCACUGAUUGGAGUCAGCCAGGGUUUCUUUUGAAUGAAUAAAAUAGGUGUGUCCGUUAGUAAGCAAGGAUCGCUAAAUAGCACUACCAAGUUUUCCGUUAGCUCCUGCGGUCAACUGCGUAUCCCUGGUGACCCAACGUGAUUUCUUUUUGAAUGACAGGUGAUCUGACGGCCUUGGUGUUUGACCGGUCGAUCGCGUUUGAACUAUUCGGCACCCCAGCUGUAGAGUGUGAAUUUUUGUUUAGAAAAAUGAAAGGAAAGUGUUGCAUUUGUUAUCUGUGAAGAAUGUGGAGGUAUUGUCCGUGGGUCUAAGAAGCUUGUUUAGCAUUUUAAGGAGCCAGAAUAUAUGACGUGUGAGUAGUGAGUGGACCGGGUUGAGAUGAGAGCGUCUUUGUGCCUGAGUUAGCUUCACUUCCUCCCCUGGUGUAUUUUUCCCUCCCUUGUAAUAGUCUGCCUUGUCCGUAAUUGUUCCCUCCUGUGUGCAAUCACCUACAUCUUCCCAGUUUAUUUAAGCCAUGUGUUUUCGUUUGUCCCAUUGUUGCUUCGUCUGUUAUCCUGUGUCUUUACUGUUCUUCGGUGUAACGGUUCUCCAGUGUAACUCCUCUGAUUUUUUGUUUUUUUCCCUAUUACCAUCAUCAGGGCGCAUGGUUGUUUUUCCUGGCUUUGUACUACUGACUUUUUGUCUAGUUGUAUUUUUCUCUAUUUAAAGGUUACUUUUAGUUUGAAUCAAUGGUUCUGCGCUUGAGUCCUAUUCCAGGCUAUGAAUUGUUAGAAUCUUCUUGAGAGUGGGCCUGGAGACUUUUAAACCUGUUUUCUUGCACUUACAGGAUUUCAUAUGGUGAAGUUCAGGGGGUACCAGGGAGUGUGAUCAGGGAGGAAAAGAUCUUGUUGGGAGCCAGCUCAUCAAGAAAGACACAAGCAGAGUGAGUCAUUGUUUACAAGAUUGUUGAGAUUGUCUGACUGCAGGGGAGGGGGGCGGGGGGACCAACGUGGUACUGGCAAGAAAGGCAGAAAGAUUUAUGGGGAGAUAGAGUUAAGAAUUCUGAAGGAUAUCUUGUGCUUUACUUUUUGUUGGUUAAAUAACAGUGUUUAAAAAUAAGGCUUUUAUUAUAAAAUAUCCUCUCUAUGCUAAAAAUGAUGUCGCUACACUGAGGUGUUUUACCAGCACAGGGUGACUGUAUCAGGGAGGCCUAAAGGAGUGGGGGAGUGAAGGGGAAAGGGGCCACCACCAGGUACCAGAAAGGAAAAGUCACACACACUGCAAAGCAAAAGAUGUAGCGGCUUUCCAAAUGUUCUCUGCAUCGCAACAUUGUACAGACAUGGACAGUGAGAGACAGUGUGUGAGACAGUAUGAGAGACAAUGUGUGAGACAUGAGAGUGUGUGAGACAGUAUGAGCGACAGUGUUUGAGAGGCGGUGGGAGACCGUGGGACAGUAUGUGAGACAGUCUGCGGAACAGUGGAUGCUCGGCUGCAGCGUGCGGUGUUCAUCACGUGACGUUUCUACUCGGGAAAGUCUUAGAGAGAGAGAGAGAGAGAGAAUUUACUGCUCUACAAAUUAGACAAGUUCACCAGUUUAAUGAAAUAUUGAAAUGAAAUGUAGGUCUUAAAUUAAGCUACAUGACGGUCUGGUGAGGUAUAUUGUAGUAUAUUAUUAGUGUAAUGCUGCUUAUGCUUCAAUUCUGUCAGAAAACAGUACAAAAAAUGUGUGUAUUGUCAGCUUUUGAUUAUUAUGCACAACUUUGAUGUAUCUCAUUUACAAAAUGCCAAGGGAGACUCCACAAACAGAAGGACAGGGAAUAUAUCCUACUGUGUUUAUUUAUUUUAUUAUUCAUAUUUUUUAUUUCCUGAAUCAUUUUGGUUUGAGCACCUGCCCGCCAAAAUGUCUGUGCACGUGCCUGG